AGUCCAAGAAGUUCAGUUGUCUUGGCAGCAAACAAGGAUUUAAGUAUCUUUGAGACAUUUGCCUUUAAUUGUAGAGGAAUGGCAUCGCCAGCUGCAAAAAUGUUUAACCUUCAGAAUUGUUUGUCUUGCUCAUUAGCAUCUCGUAGAGGCACUGAUUACAAAUAUGAGGGCUGGGAGAGAGACCUGUAGGAUAGCUGCCUUGGCUGGGUGGCAGGCACAGCCAUGGGGUCCAGCUGAGUCUGGCCUCAGGGGACCUCCAAAGAGUCUAUUUCUAGAGUAGCUAAAGGCAGGAGCUGGACACAUCUGGUGCCUCAGAAACCAUGGGGAGUGGGGAGGAGGCACUUUGGUUUCAGCCAGAGCAGCUCAAGAUCUGUACCCUUCUUCUGUACCACCAGAGCUCUUGUGAGAAAAGCUUUCUUGAUUCACUGGCUGAAAAGCAGCAAACACAACAUGGCACCUGGCAGGGUCCAACACUGUAGAAAUGCCUGUCUAAAGACUGGAGCUGGGCUUUCCUUUUAUAUAAAUUGAGUAAGUUAUUUACAGGGAAUCUCUUCUUACAGAGAACUGUGUUUCCUUGUCAAUCGCUGCCUUCUGACAAGUGCUCAGCUUUCAUUCCAGAUCUGCUCACCAUCAGCCCUGUCUUCAAUUUAUUCCAUAGAAGUUGGGAUGCUGUAAUUGGACUUCUCCAAGUCUACACGGCCUUGUCUGAGUACGCCAAAUGUCUUAUCCGAGCUUUGAUUACUUCUCUGACAGGCCACAGGCAUCGUGUUUGUUUGUUUGCUUAUUAGGCAGCUUCUUAUCUUAGUUGUAGACUUAGGAAACUCCAUCAUUGCAGUUGCACAGCUCCAGCAAUUAGGCUUCCUGCUUUUCUGGUCUGGCUGGUGCUACCUUACCCUGCAUAAAGAGCAGAAGAAGGAGGUGUAAGAAAGAAGGCAUCACCACUGGGAGCAGUCAGCAGUCUAAGGUAAGAACAUU
rnacentral:lncRNA from 1 species